rnacentral:lncRNA from 1 species
UGUGAUGCAAAGUACAAAGAGUAUAAUUGCCUGAAAACAAACACCAAAGUGACCCACGGUAUAUACAGCUUGAGAAUUGCCCUGUGCCAGGUAGGUAACGAGGAACCGGGGACUACUUGAGGUUCAUAUAGCUUCCACUAAACUAUUCAUAUUUUUCUCACCACUUAAUUAUGGCAUCAUGUUGAUGUGCAUCUCAUGAAACAAACAAUGUGUCACGACAUUAAAUCAACAAGCACUUUCACCAGGACAAACCAUGCAUAACAACACAUCUCCUGUCUUGCUUGUUCUAG